UACGUAGGGGGCUAGCGUUGUCCGGAAUCAUUGGGCGUAAAGCGCGUGUAGGCGGCUCGGUAAGUCCGCUGUGAAAGUCGGGGGCUCAACCCUCGGAUGCCGGUGGAUACUGUCGGGCUAGAGUACGGAAGAGGCGAGUGGAAUUCCUGGUGUAGCGGUGAAAUGCGCAGAUAUCAGGAAGAACACCCGUGGCGAAAGCGGCUCUCUGGAACGGUACUGACGCUGAGACGCGAAAGCGUGGGGAGCGAACAGG
rnacentral:rRNA from 1 species